CUCCGUUAGACAACAGCUUUUCUAAAAGCAGUUCACUUUGAGUUCUGUACCUAAAGAAAAUGACAUCUCUUACAUAGCUUUUUUUAUUUGCUGCAUACCAAGUCUGCAGUAUUCAAUAUUUUAGUUAUUUGCCUAGAUUUUUAAGGUCUUUGGGGGGAAAAAAAUAAAAAUUCUACUUAAUACUUCAAAAACUCGCAUCUACCAUUUUAUAGUUCCUACUGGAUUUGGUUACAGUGCAAAUAUUUCUCCACAGACAUAGCGAAAGGUCUGCACUGAUCACUCUGUGGCAUUUGCUUGAUGAUACAAGUUUCAGAUGAUAUUCCUAACUGCUCUUUAAAAAUAUAACUAAAAAUAGUUAUAAGAAAGUCUUCUGUACCCUUGAGAAGUGUAAAGCCCAAUAUAGUUAUUCUGAAAAGAGAAUUCUAGGUAGACCUGCUCAAAUAUGAGGAACUGUGAAUGUUUCUUACAACUCAUUGCUGCUAAUGCACAAUUUAGAGAUGUACUACACAAAGUAAAAGAUUUAGUUCAUUUUCGUGUUACUUCAUUUCUUAGUCACAUGGCAGAACCAACAACAAAAACUCCUUCUAAAAUAAGAACUUACAUUUCUCCGUCAGAUAAACAAGUCCUAUGUUGUAGGCAGUGAAAGUGAUGUGAAGUCUCAACUCAGAGGAUGUGAGUGCUCAUUGUACACAUGCACUGCAAAUCACCUGUGGUGGUUUGUGUGCGUCUGUCUCUACCUGAGCAUCUCACUCAAGUUGCUCCUCCCACACUCCGCCCCGUUUCUUUGUCUAAUCCCAACAACCAACAAUCCGAUCUGCUGCAGUUUGGAAACCCGGGCUGAAUGGAGGGGGAGUUGCCAGUGAGAAGAGGCUUUCCCAGGUCGCUGCUAAACCCAUAAACACCUAAGGCAGGGCUGUGCUCUCAUUGCCUGAUGAUGAAACAGCGGGACCAGCUAAAGUCAGACGGUGACAACAUCUGGUGGCUUCGCUGUGCUGUCAGAGCUCGCUGAUGAAAUUGCCCAUUCAGAAGAUGCAUUUUGAAUCAAUACCUGGGUAAUGCACACCACGGUGUUUAGAACAAAUAGCAAAUGUUGUCAGAAGUAAAUAGUUCUGUAUUUUAAGCAAUGGAAAGAGUGUGUAAGUGCUUUUCCAGGGUAAGUGUAGAAAGCCAUUACAAAGCUUAUCUUUUCAAGUGACCUAUAAAAGCUAUAAACACAUCAAAGGCUUUCAGGACAUCAGAUACAAACUUUAAUUCUUCCCACAGUCAAAAACUCCCAUGAAGCCACUGUCCCUGGAUCACGACUCCAAGUAUGCUCAGUAAUGCUAAUGGAACUCACACUUACAUGGGCAGCUUCAUUCACAAACUGUAAUUUAAUUCAGGUUACAAUUUAUUAAGCAGUGAUUUCUUGUAGUGAUUUUUUUCUCUAAAUUGUUGAAUGUAAGGCAACACAAUUUUUUUAGAAUAGAAUUUCUUGUAGGUUUUAUUAUUACAGAAAGAAAAACCAUUAAAAUGUAGCUGAAAUGUUUCUGCUUCAAGGCAGCAGCUUUUUGUUUACAGCUGGCAGGUUGAGAGGUUAUAUUUGUGUCAUAAGUAAAGGUGGGUGAAAUUUCUUCCAGGUAAAGAGUCUAGACUUUCAUAGCAAUCUGAGAUUUUAGCAGCAGUUUUUCUUAUAUUGUUGUCCAGCUCUAACCAUAAUGCAUUUAGUCAGUCACAACACUGCGAAUUUAGUGAAUGUGGCUUUUUGAUUUUUUAAGAUACUAUGAAAAGAUGUCCUUUACUGUAAAUACUUAACGUGUCAUCCUGAUAUCAUAAGGUACCGAACACAGAGGGGAUGAAAAUGCCAGUGGAUCCUGCUGAAUGAUUUAGCCUUAAGGCUCCUGCAGGUUUUAUUCGGAUUCAGAAUAGUAGGAGUGGGAAGGAGGGGGAUAAAUAAAACAUUUGUUUCAGAAAGUAGGUGACUUUGACAGAACACUGAUGUAAACCAUGAAGCCUCACAGAUCAGAAGAAUAUUGUUAAGAAGGGAGGCUGGUGAACACUCAACACCAGCCCCCGAGUGGUGCUGAUCAGUGCAGUGCUGCUUUGCUUUUAACUAUUAUUGCACUUUCUCUGCAGUUCUACAGAAUUCAGUCAGUGACUCCCACUGAUGUAUCACAGUCACUCAAACAGGUUUUUUUAUCCAGCACCACUCGGUGGAUAUUUUGGUUAAGGCCUAAUCUCAUUUGGAUUUAUUACGAUUUAUCUUGGAUUAAGCGUUUAUCUGCUGAGGAUUACGACCCAUACUAUGAGGUACUGAUGGGCGAUCCGAGUUCAGCAAUGUCUGAGCACAUUAGAAUGAAUCAGCAAUAUUAUUUUUUGACACAGUCUUCACACAUUAUCUCUUUUCAGUCAACUUUGCAACAUUCAUACACAUAAGUAUCUAAUUUUCAUUUAAUAUGGGCAGUAACCUGGAAAGCUCUUAACAUCCAGUAAGAGAAAGCUGCAUUUAAUUAGGAGCAGCUUAAAAGAUCAGGCCUCAGAGCCACAUGACUUCAUAUUCACUCUGCCUUCCACUCUCAGUAUAACAUUAUUGAUUUUUUUUAUACCAAUUUAAAUAUUUUUUCUUUUUGAAAUGUAUUUUGGUGAGUCUUUCACUACUAUCCCAACUUUCUACUUCUAAUUUGCACAGCCAGGAGUAAAAACAACGAUGAAGAAGAAUACGUUGUUUGUCUAUUACCUUUCUGGACUUUUAAGAUGUUUUUCAGGUUUGAAUAGGUUUAAACUGCUUCCUCUGUUGAUAUACACAGUACUGCACCUCAGGAACAGUGUUGGAUUUCUCAUGGGAUUAAAAGAAGUUGGUCUUUGGCUUCAGUUCGUGGCAAAGCCACCAAUGCAUGCUGUAGUUGCUUAAUCAUUUUGUAUAUUUAUAAUAUCUUAGAAAUUCCAUUUUAUGCUGCUUUUUGUGCUGCUUUAAUUGCACAAAUUUGGAGAAUUCCAGUGGCCAUAAAUUUUGUAUGUUUGUAAGUUUUCCUUACAGUUUGGAUUUUAUCUUCAUGAUACACACAGAGAAGGUUUAAAUACUUUCAGUCUUUCAUAAUGCUGAAAAUAAGACCUUGGAUGUGAAACUGCACAAUUUAAUGUGUUUAACCACUCUUACUAAAGAAAUUAGAGGGAAAAUAUAUGGUUCAUUUCCAGUAUACAAUUCUACUAUUUGCUAAAUACUGUCACAUUUACAAUGUGCAGUCCUGUAACAAAUGACUACGCUGCAGUGUUAUUGUUCAUUUUGAGGAUUGCCUGCAAUGUCUUAUUUGCCAACCAGGGAGUUUACAGUGUGAGUGUAACCAUGAGGAGAUGAAACCUAAGGUGGGAAGGGACACUAGUUCCAGUAUGUCUGACUUCACUAAAUAAUGUAAUUAAAUUUUGUUUUUCAGGAGAACAGUUCAAAAUUCAAUUUCUUUACAAUGUUGGGAUACACUAUGCCUUGUUACCAAUUUGCAUCUUACCCAACUGAUGUUCAGAGUUGUGGACACAGCAAUGUCUGUGAAACCGUAGCUCAUAUUUCUGUUAUGCAAGGAAAAGAUUCAGCUGAUGAAAAAUUAGACAAAGUAAAAGACUGAGAAUGGAUGAGCAUAGAAAAAAAUUGAUCUGCCAUAACUAAAAACGUUGAUAAAUAAGCUUUAAGGAGACAUAAAAAAAUAAAAUUCUUUUUCAGUACCUUUUUUGAAAAAAUAUCAAAUAGAAAAUCAUCUGGAUUCAGAGGAGAAAGGUUCUGUGAACCAGAUUCUUUAUCCCCUUUCAUAUAAGUAUGUGUACAAGGAGAGAAAAAUAGUGAGUGAAGGGUAUUUUCUGGUAAUGGGAUACAUUAAGGUUGCCAUGGAAUUUGGGAUCAGCAUGCACAAGAUAUUGAUCUUAAACCUGCUGCUGAGCUACAAGGAUAAGAAGGACUUGUUAAUUUACUUAUUUUCUAUAUCAGCCCAGAACUACCCCUGUAUAGGGACAACCCUAUGGAUAGGAUGGAUGGCAAAGUCUGACUUUGAAAAGACUCUUACUGGGACUCAUGGAAUCAAUUCAACUGGAAGGGACCUUAGGAGAUUUUCUAGUGCAAACUCCUGCUUACAUCAGGGUCAACACCGAAAUCACAUCAGUUGGUUUAGGGCUUGAUGCAAUGAAGUUUUGAAAACCUGCAAGGAUGGAGAUUCCCCAACCUCUCUGAGCAAUGUGUUCCAGUGCUUAAAUAUCUCCAAAGAAUAAAGGGGAAUAAAAAAAGAUGUUCUCUGUGUUCUCCAGGCUACUAAUAAAGAUAUUCCUUGGUGUAGGUCUAAGGGUGAACUUUCAAGGGACGCCACUGGUAACUGCUGUCAGAUGCAGUGUGACUCUUUAACCCCUUGGGCCUGUCAAGGUAGAUUUUCACCCUUUCAGCAGUCUGCCCAUCCACACUAUAACAUUCCAGUUUGGAUACAAGUGUGCUGUGGGAGACUGUGCUGAAAGCCCUCCUGAAGUCAAGGUAGGCAACAUCUACGGCUCUGCCUUUGUCUGCAUGUCUUGCCAUUUCAUCUCAGAAGGUUGUUAGACUUGCUCAAGUGUGGCAAACCUUGGAGAAUCCAUGCUGGAUACUGCUUCUCAUCGCCUUUCUUUCUUCUGCAGGCAUGGCUCCUGCAGACUUGCUCCGUUAUUGUCCCAGAGGACAAGCAGUGGUUCCAUGGAUCAUCAUUCUUGCCUUUCUUUAGCAUUAUGGGCUUUUGGGGAGAUUGAAGUGUGAAAUCAGCCUUUCACUUCACAGCUAAGAGAUUUGACAUAGUCCAUAGUGAUACACUCCCUACAACUGGAACUAAAAAGUCUGUAAACAGUUAUUGAUUUCCACAUGCUACUGGGGAAAUUUUCCAAGAUCAGUGACAGCUGGGAAAUCACUGGCAUUUUAAAAUUAUAGAUCACUGAUUCACUUUUUUGGCAUUUUCAGUAUUGCAUUAUGGCAAUAAACAUGCUAGAUGUGUAUUAAAAAAACAAAAUGCUUUUAGCAUUUUAGUAUUUUUUUGUUUGAGGAGUAUUACAGAUGAAAAUUUCUUGAUACAAUUCAAAAUAAUGGGUUUGUUUAUUAAAGAUAUAUACCCAUUAAGAUGAAGUUAGGAUGAGGAAAAUGCUUGUUUGUGUGAAAAUAAUAUCUGCUUUUUCAACAACAGCAUCUCCUGAGGUUUCUUUGAUUCAUAUCUGAUUACUUUAAUGACUAAACCAGGUUUUAACUCCUGUUAGCACUGCAGAAUACAGAGGAUUGUAGAAGACUAAAAUGUAUUUUGCCCUCCCAAGUCAUUGUCAAUGCAGCUCUCAGGUACAUUUCAUUCUGGAAUUAUUUGCAAGGGAGGGGAUUGGUUUCAGGUCAUUGUCCCAGGCAGAGCUUGCAGAAGCCUCUGGUGGGUCACUGAGCUUUCAUGACAAUUUGGGAGGAGUUGGGUGCUUGCCUACAGAAGGGCACAGGUGCGUGAAAGGAAAAGAUGUGUUGACAAAAUCACCUCUUUGCUGGACAAUUAAAAAUGUGAGAUAAACCCGAGCUUGUUCUGUGCUGCCUGGGGCAAGAAGGACUUCAUAUUGUUAACACAGUGAUUCCUCUGGCUGAUGAAGGAUCUGCUCUGACGCAUUCUGAAGGAUGUUGCAUAUGCCUUGGCUGGGAAAAUGAUGUUUUCUUUGUGCUGGUCGAGGAUAGAAAAGAAGGGGAAAUGGUGGGAGUGGUGACUCGGGUGAUCUUUAGAGAAAAAAAAUAAUGCAACUUCAAAUUGAAGAUGAGCUCUGUAUACUUCCAGAUUUGAAAAUAAUUAGCAGUCACAGAAUUUGUGAUCUACUGUCUCAGAUUUUUGCACUGCAAAAAUACACAUUUUAAAAUAGAAUAAAAAAUUGACUAGUAAGAUUAGCUGGCUAAUAAUGUUUUAAUGGAAAAAGUAUGUAAUAGAAGAUACUGUUCAGUCAGAAUCCGGAAAGAAAAACAUCAAAUAAUAAACUGAUUUGAGCUAAGAACUUUGAAUACAGACUUAAUUGUUCAAGACACGACUGAUUUUAUUUUAUUUCCAUGACAGCAUCAUUUCAUCCACAGUCUGCCAUGCCAUGAGGCCUGUAAGAGGCUGUCUUUGAAGGGAUUGUAAUGGCAGAUAUAGUUCUGCCAAGUAGAAAUGAUUCUGGAGACGCUGCAGAAGGUGGAGGCUUUCCUGUGAUGAACCUGGAGGCAGUCCGGAGGGGUUAGGAAUCUACUAUAGAGGAGAUGGCUCAAAGUCAAGAGAAUUUGUUCAGUGAAACCAAAGGACAUGAGAGUGCCUGGAGCAUCGCAUUGAUGGGCAAAUAACGUACCACCAGAUAGGGGGAAUAUCCAUCAGGCUUGUCCUGCUGCUGCCACUUUCCUAACAAAUACUGAAUAGCUAUCAAGCUUCAAUCGCUAUUGAAAACUGCCUGUGUUACUGAAAGUAUUCUCUUGACCUCUGGAGUAUGUUAUUACAAAAAGAAGGGCAUAAUUGACUUAUUGAAUCCACAAUUAUUUGUUCUUGCUGUUGUCCCAUAACAGCAUGGAUUAUAAACCUUAUGUCCUAGUCAGGCAGGCAAAACUCUGUUACCUUAGUCCUGCUGUUUAAUUAGUGUUUACAAUUGGACAUUGUUUAUAUACCAAUAAAUGUUGCCUGAAUGAAGACUUCCCCUUAACCAAUUACACCAGAUGUUUCUCUGUGAAGGUCCUAAUUAAACAGCAUCUCUUCUUGUGUUGGCUUUAA